ACGGGAGGCAGCAGUGAGGAAUAUUGGUCAAUGGGCGAGGGCCUGAACCAGCCAAGUAGCGUGAAGGAUGACUGCCCUAUGGGUUGUAAACUUCUUUUGUUCGGGAAUAAAGGAGCCUACGCGUAGGCUUUUGCAUGUACCGUUCGAAUAAGCAUCGGCUAAUUCCGUGCCAGCAGCCGCGGUAAUACGGAAGAUGCGAGCGUUAUCCGGAUUUAUUGGGUUUAAAGGGAGCGUAGGCGGCCUUUUAAGUCAGCGGUCAAAUGUCAGCGCCCAACGCUGGCCUGCCGUUGAUACUGAUGGGCUUGAAUACACACAAGGAAGGUGGAAUUCGUCGUGUAGCGGUGAAAUGCUUAGAUAUGACGAAGAACUCCGAUUGGGAAGCCAGCUUACUGUAGCGCCACUGACGCUGAUGCUCGAAAGCGUGGGUAUCGAACAGGAUUAGAUACACUGGUA
rnacentral:rRNA from 1 species